rnacentral:lncRNA from 1 species
CUCAAGCUCAUCCCUGCCCUCAAACCUCUCCAAACUGCUGCCAAGGUCACUGGCCAAAUCCACCGUCGCCGGCCCUUUUUCUGCCACAACAGCACACCAUCAACUUUUCCGCUCAUCGACGAUCAGUUCUUCCCUGAGGAGGUGCAGGAAGGGGAAGAAUUCUAUGGUGUAGACGAGUUCUUGUUCUAG